ACGAGAAAGUGGAGCAAUCCAUGAGUAAAGUGGCGACCGGGUGAGUAACACGUGACUAACCUACCUUCGAGUGGGGGAUAACCUCGGGAAACCGGGGCUAAUACCGCAUAACAUCCUUGAAGUGGAAACUUUGGGGAUCAAAGGAGCAAUUCGCUUGAAGAGGGGGUCGCGGCUGAUUAGCUAGUUGGCGGGGUAAUGGCCCACCAAGGCUUUGAUCGGUAGCCGGCCUGAGAGGGCGCACGGCCACACUGGAACUGAAACACGGUCCAGACUCCUACGGGAGGCAGCAGUGGGGAAUUUUGCGCAAUGGGGGAAACCCUGACGCAGCAACGCCGCGUGGAGGAUGAAGUCCCUUGGGACGUAAACUCCUUUCGACCGGGAAGAUUAUGACGGUACCGGUGGAAGAAGCCCCGGCUAACUUCGUGCCAGCAGCCGCGGUAAUACGAGGGGGGCAAGCGUUGUUCGGAAUUAUUGGGCGUAAAGGGCGCGUAGGCGGUGCGGUAAGUCACCUGUGAAAUCUCCGGGCUUAACUCGGAGUCUGCAGGCGAAACUGCCGUGCUGGAGUAUGGGAGAGGUGCGU
rnacentral:rRNA from 1 species